GGAGUUAGCCGGUGCUUCUUCUGUGAGUGAUGUCCUUCCUGCCGGCUAUUAACCCGCAGGCCUUCUUCCUCACUGAAAGUGCUUUACAACCCGAAGGCCUUCUUCACACACGCGGCAUGGCUGGAUCAGGGUUGCCCCCAUUGUCCAAUAUUCCCCACUGCUGCCUCCCGUAGGAGUCUGGGCCGUGUCUCAGUCCCAGUGUGGCUGAUCAUCCUCUCAGACCAGCUACGGAUCGUCGCCUUGGUGAGCCGUUACCUCACCAACCAGCUAAUCCGACAUAGGCUCAUCCGAUAGCGCGAGGCCCGAAGGUCCCCCGCUUUCCCCCGUAGGGCGUAUGCGGUAUUAGCCUGGGUUUCCCCAGGUUAUCCCCCACUACCAGGGCAGAUUCCUAUGCAUUACUCACCCGUCCGCCGCUCGCCACCAGGGAGCAAGCUCCCCGUGCUGCCGCUCGACUUGCAUGUGUUAGGCCUGCCGCCAGCGUUCAAUCUGAGCCAGAAUCAAACUCUGA
rnacentral:rRNA from 1 species